rnacentral:rRNA from 1 species
GCCUAGCCCUAAACCUUGGUAAUAUAUCACAUACCCUACCCGCCUGGGAACUACGAGCACCAGCUUAAAACCCAAAGGACUUGGCGGUGCUUUAGACCCCCCUAGAGGAGCCUGUUCUAGAACCGAUAACCCCCGUUCAACCUCACCCUUCCUUGUUUAUCCCGCCUAUAUACCGCCGUCGUCAGCUUACCCUGUGAAGGCCUAAAAGUAAGCACAACUGGCACAACCCAAAACGUCAGGUCGAGGUGUAGCGCAUGGAGGGGGAAGAAAUGGGCUACAUUCCCUAUUUUAGGGAACACGAACGGCGCACUGAAACACGCGCCUGAAGGAGGAUUUAGUAGUAAGCGGAAAAUAGAGUGUUCCGCUGAAAUCGGCCCUGAAGCGCGC